CUGAGGGGCUCCAUGUAAACAAAAGGACAAUGUAUUAGAUAUUCAAUUCAAUGACUCCAUAGAGUUUUUAAAAUCAUCAAAUUUUGGUGUAGACCCGUUUAUAAGCCAUUGAUGCGUCGUCACUUUUUUAUCAGAAAUAUUCGGCUUACGAAUGAGUAUAUAUGGUAACUCUUUUUUUUUUAGUACAAACGAGACCUCUGUCUGCCUUGAUGAUAUUGUAAUAUUGGCCAGAAACCAAAGUGUAUCAGCCUCACUGCUGAUCUAGAGAAGUCUUCUAACCAGUCCAUUCUAGUCAUGCUGGCUAUAAACCCCCGAAUACUGCAUACAGUCAGGUAGGGACUUUACUUCAGCUCUCUUCUCCAUGGAGGGAUUAGUGUGGUAGGCCUAGCAUGACAGCCUCUUUGCACCUCAGGCAACAUGCAUCUGCCAGCUUCCACUUGCCCUCCUUCCCUUAGGUCAGUUAACAUGUCAUAAACUGUAAUCUGAGGGCAUUAAGAUAUAUCCAGUGCAUCUCCUGUUCCCUUGCCCACUCAGCCUGGGUCAUAAAUGUUGUAUCAGCAGCUGACUAUCAGCAAUCAGCUGUGCAGAGUCUGAUGACAAUUAUGGGCUCAGGACAGAAGUUACAAGUAUCUUACCCUUUAUCUGCCAUGACAUUGUCCCCACUAGCCCUUUGUACCUGAUACUGGGCUCAAGGGUAUGUAAGUUAUAUUAGACAACUAAAAUAUACUUCUGGAGUUCAUGUUCUUAGUUUUAUGUGGUACUUGGUCAGUGUCUCUAACUUGAAGUUCGGUGAGGAUACAGGCAGAAUUAAAGUUGGUAUUGAAACUUUAACUGAACAUUUCCUGUAUUUAGAUUUUCUGAAACUAUAUAAUCCUUGAAUGUUCUAAAAGGACAUCAAACGACUCAACCAUAUUUCUAAAUUCACUCUUUUGGUCUCAGAAUAACGUCCAUACUAUAAUAGAUUUCAGUUUGCUGUUUCUUCCAAAAAUUAGAUGCAUUCUAAAAUCUAUGGAAUUACUGAAAUGUACUGGGGAAUAAGUGUUUAUAUAAAGAGGGAGAGUUAAGGGAUAUGUUCUUCUCAGAACUCUUAAAUGGAACAGCUAUUUACCAAAAUCUGCUCCUAAAGGCAAGUAGCUUCCUGUGCCAAGAUGAUAUACAAACUAAAAAGAAAAAAUUGUAAUUGGUGUAUCAAAACUGUUCUGCUACUGCUUACUCAUCCGUUAAAAAUUGUCAGUAUCAGGAAGGGUUUUGACGGUGCCCUGCUGCUGUGUCAGUGUAACACAUGCUUCAGGCACUUGCUUCCAUACUGCAUUCCAGGUCAUUGAUCAAACUCAGCAGGCAGGAUACUGGGAGCUACAUGACAAAUCUUCGUGACUCACAGCUGGGCCCACAACUACGUAUCAUAGUAAAUGAGUCAGUUAAACAUCACUAGUUUAGCAAGCGUGAAAAAAAUUACCAUGAUAUCAUUCAUGAUUCUUCACAGGAUUUUACAGCAUAUGAGUUAUUGCUGAAUUUCCAUCAUGCUCCUUGUCAAAACUUAAAUCAAAACAUGUUGUCUUAAAUAGUUACUUAGUUGGCCCUCACACGUUAAAGCUACAAUAAUAUUAGGUAUACUAAGGCAAAAUCAGCUAUCUGAAUGGCUUUUGUCCUGGCCUAAUUUUUCUGGGAAACAAAGGUUCCCAUAACAGAUGCUAUGAAAGCCAUCUAUGUCAACCAUUUUUCUGAUUUUUAGUUGUAGUUUUGAAGGAAUAAUGUUAAGGUGGUCAGUGUAACUUCAUCAGCACAGCUUUUGUGCCCAACAGUAUAUUUUUGGUACAUCUAUCACACCUCACCAAAAAAGGGUGGACAGAACUAUUCUCAAUUUCAAAUGAAAGAGCCGUCUCCGAGAAAUCAAGGAAGUAAUCUUUGUCUUUAAACUUCAGUUCAAAUUUCAAACCUCUUUGACUGUAUGAUUAAACUAUCUUUAAAAAACUAUAUUUGUUAAAGCCUGGGGCAUGAAAAUAUUUUUACCAUAGCAACUUUGGCAAAUACUGAAAUUACAUAAACUUGUAACUUGCUUAAACAGGACUAUACCUGUGACUUUUGGGUGCCUUUUUAGUCUUCAGUGUCUCUGAACAUUUUUAACAUUAUAACCUUAACAGAAGAGCAGUUAAACUUAAAUUCUGAACUAUAGUAUUGAAAAAUCCAAGCCACCUUUUGAACUACAGACGUUAAACAAUGAGCUAUGAAAUCCUUAAGUGCACUCAAGAAGUAGGUGUCAGUUAAAUUUUUUGUAAAUAAUCUUUAUUUAUAUUCAGUAGUGUAAAAAUCCACCCUGCUUGAUGUUCGUGUCCUGCAUGGCAUAUUUAAAUUCUGCAGAACCUAACCUGCUUCUUCAAGUGGAAUGCCCAGAGGGAUACUACUUCAGGCACAAAUGCACUCUGUGUCUUUUGAUUGGAGAUUUUUUGGUAGCAGUGCCCAUUCGGACCAUGCAUGUGUCCUACACAUCCUCGUGCCCCCUAUGGAGGCUAUAUAGAGCUCUUUGGGUGAACCACCCUCAAUUCCUUUCAACAGCCUUCAGACAGACACGGAAUUUCGUGUGUGCCUGUUUUCUCUGUUUAGAGUUAUACAGUACAUAAGAACUAACCCUAUAUACUAUUUUAGUUGUUGGAACAGUUGUCUCCCCUCUCCCCAAUUUAGGGGGUCUAAAAUUGUUUCUUGGAUCUGGGAUGUCAAGCUACUUGGGUUUUAAAAGGUGUCUCCAAUGUCAAGAAGCCAUUCCUGUCAGCAAUGGGCAUUCUUCACAAAUACGUUGCUUGGGAGACUCGCGUAUUCCCAGCAAGUGCAAGAUUUGCACUUCGUUUAAGGGAAGAUCUCUUAAAACCAGGGGAAUUAAGUAUGCACUAUUGAUGACAGAGCAAGCCUUAUGACCAGCUUUGGAUCUGGGGAAAGAGAACCCCCUCUCCAAGAGACCCUCUGCUUCUGUUAGUGCCUCUUCUACAAUAAGAUCACAAUCACAAAGCGCUUCCAAGGUGAAAGCAGUGUCAAGAUCCCAAUCUCCAACACUCUCCAUGGGUGAAAUACCUAUAACCAUGCCAGUGGUACUUAGAGCUUCUCACUCAAAGAUGGAGGAGGACAAGAAGACCAGAGCAGAGUUCCUCAAAGAAGAUUCAGUACAGGAGACCUCAGGCCCUAAGAAGAGUGCUAUUGAGGCGCCGAAUACUUUGGGUAUCAUGAAGCAAUCUAAGAC